rfam:Salmo salar isolate Sally breed double haploid chromosome ssa15, whole genome shotgun sequence.
UGGCUCAGUUGGUAGAGCAUGGUGUUUGCAACGCCAGGGUUGUGGGUUCGAUUCCCGC